AGUGGAUGGGGAGCAACCUAGUUGUGCGUGUGUAAAGGUAGUGCCAAGAAAAGCGAUGAUCAUGUUGAAAAUCAAUUCCCGGUACCCGAAACCGACACAGGUGGGCAAGUAGAGAAUACUAAGGGGCGCGAGGUAACUCUCUCCAAGGAACUCGGCAAAAUGACCCCGUAACUUAGGGAGAAGGGGUGCCACCGAGAGGUGGUCGCAGUGAAGAGGCCCAGGCGACUGUUUAGCAAAAACAUAGGUCUCUGCAAACUCGAAAGAGGAGGUAUAGGGGCUGACGCCUGCCCAGUGCCGGAAGGUUAAAGAAGUUGGUCAGUUUUAGGAUGAAGCUAGCGACUGAAGCCCCGGUGAACGGCGGCCGUAACUAUAACGGUCCUAAGGUAGCGAAAUUCCUUGUCGGGUAAGUUCCGACCCGCACGAAAGGCGUAACGAUCUGGGCGCUGUCUCGGAGAGAGGCUCGGCGAAAUAGGAUUGUCUGUGAAGAUACGGACUACCUGCAUUUGGACAGAAAGACCCUAUGAAGCUUUACUAUAGCUUGGAAUUGUGUUCGGGCUUCCUGUGCGCAGGAUAGGUGGGAGGCGUAGAAGGUAUUCUUGUGGGAUACUGGAGCCAACGGUGAGAUACCACUCUCAGGAGGCUAGAAUUCUAACUUAAUUAAGGACAGUUUCAGGUGGGUAGUUUGACUGGGGCGGUCGCCUCCAAAAAGGUAACGGAGGCGUACAAAGGUUCCCUCAGACUGGUUGGAAAUCAGUCGAAGAGUGCAAAGGCAGAAGGGAGCUUGACUGCGAGAAGUACAGUUCGAGCAGGGUGGAAACACGGUCUUAGUGAUCCGACGGUGCUGUGUGGAAGGGCCGUCGCUCAACGGAUAAAAGUUACUCUAAGGAUAACAGGCUGAUCUCCCCCAGGAGUUCACAUCGACGGGGAGGUUUGGCACCUCGAUGUCGGCUCAUCGCAACCUGGGGCGGAAGUACGUCCCAAGGGUUGGGCUGUUCGCCCAUUAAAGCGGUACGUGAGCUGGGUUCAGAACGUCGUGAGACAGUUCGGUCCAUAUCCGAUGUAGGCGUGAGAAUAUUGAGAGGAGCCUUCCUUAGUACGAGAGGACCGGGAAGGACGCACCGCUGGUGUACCUGUUAUGAUGCCAAUUGUAAACGCAGGGUAGCCAAGUGCGGAGAGGAUAACCGCUGAAAGCAUCUAAGUGGGAAGCCCACCUCAAGAUGAGUAUUCUGGUGUAAGGUCACGGGAAGACGACCCGUAAAUAGGCACGAGGUGGAAGUGCAGAGAUGUAUGAAGCCGAAGUGUACUAAUAGACCGUCGGCUUGACC
rnacentral:rRNA from 1 species